rnacentral:rRNA from 1 species
UAGGGAAUCUUCCGCAAUGGACGCAAGUCUGAUGGAGCAACGCCGCGUGAGUGAAGAAGGAUUUCGGUUCGUAAAACUCUGUUGUUAGAGAAGAACAGCGCAUAGAGUAACUGUUAUGCGUGUGACGGUAUCUAACCAGAAAGCCACGGCUAACUACGUGCCAGCAGCCGCGGUAAUACGUAGGUGGCAAGCGUUGUCCGGAUUUAUUGGGCGUAAAGCGAGCGCAGGCGGUUAGAUAAGUCUGAAGUUAAAGGCAGUGGCUCAACCAUUGUAGGCUUUGGAAACUGUUUAACUUGAGUGCAGAAUGGGAGAGUGGAAUUCCAUGUGUAGCGGUGAAAUGCGUAGAUAUAUGGAGGAACACCGGUGGCGAAAGCGGCUCUCUGGUCUGUAACUGACGCUGAGGCUCGAAAGCGUGGGGAGCGAACAGG